AUCACUCUGACGCACUAACCUUACAGAGUUUACCAUGACUGGCGGUAUUUGGGCUGGAAUGUAUCACUCCCUUAGCAGCAAUUAUUAAGCUGACAACUUUAGUCGUCAGCUGCACCAUUACUAGACUUCAAGCAAUCCUGCUACUUGAUGUUAGAAGGAACCUGCCCAGACUCGACACAGGACAAAUGACAGCAGCUUAGCAGUGUCCUGCAUGAGAGCGUCACACUUUCAUCAUGAAUUGGAUCGGCUGAAAGUCUGAAAUAGUCAUCAUUCUUCCCUCGAUACACAUCUGAGACUUCCACCAGGCUCAGCAGGAGUUAUGUACACAUAUCAAUAUGUCAAACUGUAGACCGCUUCUUGGAGACAGCAGUUAGCACAGCCUCCAUUUUCCAAUCCACACUUCACUUCGCUCUCUGUUCUGCCAACAAUGUAUUUGUACCAACGGCUCUAUACUUUCUGUGAUGACGACUCCUGUACACAGAGAACCCCAAACAGCCAACAGAUAGUAACAGCUUUUACCUCGUACGGCCCUGAGCCAGAUUUGAAGUGACAAUUUAGAGGUUGUAUAUUCCAAGCUCUUGUGGACAUAAUCAUGAUUGAAAAACAUCUUUGCUAGAAAUGAAUGAGUUGUUCACAGAGGCGACCAAUCUUUUUGGCCUGUCUCUUUUGCCAUGAAGACAGAGUCCGAUGUAUGGCUACAACCAGUACGUAUGUGACCAAAUAAGCCUUUCAAAAUAAACAGCUUUAUUUCUGUUAUACCCACUGAA